UACAGGGGGUGCAAGCGUUACUCGGAAUUACUGGGCGUAAAGAACGCGUAGGCGGUUUGACAAGUCUGGUGUGAAAUCCCUGGGCUUAAUCCAGGAAGUGCAUUGGAUACUGUUAGACUUGAAUACAGGAGAGGUUGACGGAAUUCCUGGUGUAGAGGUGAAAUUCGUAGAUAUCAGGAGGAACAACAGUGGUGAAGACGGUCAACUGGACUGUGAUUGACGCUGAGGCGUGAAAGCGUGGGGAGCAAACAGG
rnacentral:rRNA from 1 species